GCCGGUCGGCGUUUUGCGGAGGCUUGGGGGUGGGAGAGGUAGACGGUACUCGGGAGGAAGUGGUAAAAUGCUUUGAUCUCUCGAUGACCACCUGUGGCGAAGGCGGUCUACCAGAACACGUCCGACGGUGAGGGAUGAAAGCUGGGGGAGCAAACCGGAUUAGAUACCCGGGUAGUCCCAGCUGUAAACUAUGCAAACUCAGUGAUGCAUUGGCUUGUGGCCAAUGCAGUGUUGCAGGGAAGCCGUUAAGUUUGCCGCCUGGGAAGUACGUACGCAAGUAUGAAACUUAAAGGAAUUGGCGGGGGAGCACCACAAGGGGUGAAGCCUGCGGUUCAAUUGGAGUCAACGCCAGAAAUCUUACCCGGAGAGACAGCAGAAUGAAGGUCAAGCUGAAGACUUUACCAGACAAGCUGAGAGGUGGUGCAUGGCCGCCGCCAGCUCGUGCCGUGAGAUGUCCUGUUAAGUCAGGUAACGAGCGAGAUCCCUGCCUCUAGUUGCCACCAUUACUCUCAGGAGUAGUGGGGCGAAUUAGCGGGACCGCCGCAGUUAAUGCGGAGGAAGGAAGGGGCCACGACAGGUCAGUAUGCCCCGAAAAUC
rnacentral:rRNA from 1 species